ACUGCUCAGUAACACGUAGCUAACUACCCUAUUGUUUGGGAUACCCUCGGGAAACUGAGAUUAACACCGAAUAGAAGAUAAUUUCUGGAAUGAUUUAUCUUUCAAGAUAGGAUGGGGCUGCGGCUGAUUAGAUUGUGGCGGGGUAAUGGCCCACCAAGUCCGCGAUCAGUAAGGGCUCUUAGCGGAGGGACCCUAAGAAGGAAUCUGAGACACUAUUCCUAGCCCUACGGGGUGCAGCAGUCGGGAAACUUCUACAAUGCACGCAAGUGUGAUAGAGCAAGCCAGAGUGCGUUCCUAAUAAUUGGAACGCUUUUGUGAGAAGCAAAAAUUCUCACGAAUAAGGACUGGGCAAGACUAGUGCCAGCCGCCGCGGUAAUACUAGCGGUCCAAGUAGCAGCCACUUUUAUUGGGUCUAAAACAUCCGUAGCUUGUUUUGUAAGUCUCUUGUGAAAUAUGAUGUCUCAAGCAUCGUGCGUGCAAGAGAUACUGCAAGGCUAGAGACCGGGAGACGUAAGAAGUACGCUUAGGGUAGUAGUUAAAUGCGUUGAUCCUUAGUGGACUAACGAUAGCGAAGGCAUCUUACGAGAACGGAUCUGACAGUGAGGGAUGAAGGCUAGGGGCGCAAAACGGAUUAGAUACCCGUGUAGUCCUAGCAGUAAACACUGCACACUAAACAUCGGUACCUCUUCGAGAGGUAUCGGUGCUGUAGGGAAGCCGUAGAGUGUGCUACCUGGGAAGUAUAGUCGCAAGGCCGAAACUUAAAGGAAUUGGCGGGGGAG
rnacentral:rRNA from 1 species